UGGCAGGGCAUGCUCGUUCAGCGGACGCCGGAGCUGGGCUGGCAUCGCUCCAAAUCAUACAAAAUUCGUCGUAGAAGCGAGCACGCUGCAACGUCGUUAUAUGAUUCAAUGAGAGUAGAAAGGGAAAAAAACAGAGCAACAGAUGCUGCAGCUCGAAAUCAUUCAGGUUUCGUGCACAGUAAACGCUCCAAAACAUUCAGGCGACACAAAAGUUGUCCUAAAAUGCGCUACGAGAGCACGGAGCAAUGUCGUUUCAUGGCUGACUGAAACUUGGAAGACCACGAUUCCAAGUAGCGCAGACGGCAAGUACAGCAAAAUGGACAAAAUGUUCGUGUAGUUGGGAUCGAGUGUAGAAAAUGUUGUGAGAAAAUGUUGUUGUACCGGCCCGGCGUUACACAACAUCCGGGGUAGUACUGGCCCGGCGUGCAGAAGGUGUGGAAGUUCUUAUUGUAGUUGUUCUUCUGGCAGUAGUUGCUGCACGUCUCGCCCGAGCACGGGAAGAUUGCGUGGUAGUAGUCUGUCACCAAAUAAUCACUGUUAUUAUUAGCAGUGCACGCAGGACACAAAAGAAUUAGUAACUGCAUGAACUACACAGUAUUAAUUACCUGCUGCUUUGCAAGAUUAUAAGGAGACCGUGUGGCCACGAGGAGAGCUGCGAGCAGAACAAGACCUGUGCCCUGCUCCUUGACAUGUGCCAUGGUUGGGAUCGAGUGUGUGGUAUGGAGUACGUAUGGGCAGUGGAGAAGAAGCUAGCUCUCUUGUUAUUCUGCUUGGAUCUUGCUAGAUGUGUUGUUGAUCGGGCUUUAUUUGCUCCUUUGAGUUCU
rnacentral:lncRNA from 1 species